AGCCCGGUCGUCUAGCGGCCAAGGAUGCUGGGCUCUGGAUCGCGAGCUCAGAGGGCUGGAUUGGGCCGCGAGGCGAACCCCAGCGACGGGAGUUCGAAUCUCCCCCGGGCUACCA
rnacentral:tRNA from 1 species